rnacentral:rRNA from 1 species
GAUGAACGCUAGCUCCAGGCUUAACCCAUGCAAGUCGAGGGACCGGCGCACGGGUGAGUCACACGUAUCCCACCUGCCCUUUACUCGGGGAUAGCCUUUCUAAAGAAAGAUUAAUCCCCGAUGUAAAGGAUUGGUCUUCGUUCCAUUAGGUUGUUGGUGAGGUAACGGCUCACCAAGCCUUCGAUGGAUAGGGGUUCUGAGAGGAAGGGCCCCCAAAUUGGAACUGAGACACGGUCCAAACUCCUACGGGAGGCAGCAGUGAGGAAUAUUGGUCAAUGGGCGUGAGCAUGAACCAGCCAAGUAGCGUGAAGGAUGAAGGUUUAUGGGUCGUAAACUUCUUUUAUAUAAGAAUAUGUAUCAUAUGAAUAAGGAUCGGCUAACUCCGUGCCAGCAGCCGCGGUAAUAC